rnacentral:SRP_RNA from 1 species
GCUGGGCAAGAUGACUCAUGCCUGUAAUCCCAGCACUUUGGGAGGCUGAGGCAGGAGGAUCACUUGAGCCCAGGGGUUAGGGUUAGAGACCAGCCUGGGCAAUAUAGUGAGACCCUGUCUCUA